rnacentral:rRNA from 1 species
GGAGUUAGCCGGUGCUUCUUCUGUGAGUGAUGUCCUUCCUGCCGGCUAUUAACCCGCAGGCCUUCUUCCUCACUGAAAGUGCUUUACAACCCGAAGGCCUUCUUCACACACGCGGCAUGGCUGGAUCAGGGUUGCCCCCAUUGUCCAAUAUUCCCCACUGCUGCCUCCCGUAGGAGUCUGGGCCGUGUCUCAGUCCCAGUGUGGCUGAUCAUCCUCUCAGACCAGCUACGGAUCGUCGCCUUGGUGAGCCGUUACCUCACCAACCAGCUAAUCCGACAUAGGCUCAUCCGAUAGCGCGAGGCCCGAAGGUCCCCCGCUUUCCCCCGUAGGGCGUAUGCGGUAUUAGCCUGGGUUUCCCCCAGGUUAUCCCCCACUACCGGGCAGAUUCCUAUGCAUUACUCACCCGUCCGCCGCUCGCCACCAGGGAGCAAGCUCCCCGUGCUGCCGCUCGACUUGCAUGUGUUAGGCCUGCCGCCAGCGUUCAAUCUGAGCCAGAGUACAACUACUCGACGUACGUAGACGGGCGUCGUCGACGACGGC